rnacentral:lncRNA from 1 species
UCCCAAAGUGCUGGAGUUACAGAUGUGAGCCUCUGUGCUCAGCCCAUCCUUGGCUGUUCAAGUGUAGAGAAAUUGCCACUCCCUCUCCAGCCCUCAGCAACCACCACCUCGAUCAGUCACUAGCUAUCAACAUUGAGACAAGACCAUCCAGCAGCAAAAUGAUGAUGACUUACUGAAGGCCCAGAUGAUGGUUAGCAUUUUUUGGCAAUCACGUAUUUUCAAAGUCCAGUGUCUGAUUCUUUUGGGAAGCUGGAUAUGAAGUCAGAAUCUUUCUUUGAGUCAUACAUUUUCAUGAUUAUGAUUAUUAUUGAAUGAUAGCUGGCAAUUAUUGAGAGCAAUUAUUGAGGACAAUUAUUGAGCUUUCACAAGCCCUUUUCAAAGGUCUUUACAUAUAUUUUCUCCACUUCUAACUGUUAGAUAUUCUUAUUAUUCCCAUUUUGUAGAUGAGGGAUACACAGGCAUAAAGCCUAUGUGGAGGCAGAGAGCAGCUACGUAACCUGACUAUGGCCCAACAGCAAACAAAUGAUGGGGCCACAUGCAAAUCCAGGCAGAACCCUUCUAUUAUAUGAAGCUCAAUGUUUUCUUGUUUGCAGCUUGUUAUGAAUACCUCUAUUUGCAAAUGGGUUUUGAAGCUACUUUAAAACAUUUUGUGGCUGUGCGUGGUGGCUGGCACCUGUAAUCCCAGCAUUAUGGGAAACCAAGGUGGGCAGAUUGCCUGAGCUCAGGAGUUUGAGACCAACCUGGCCAACAUGGUGAAACCCUGUGCCUACUAAAAAUACAAAAAAAUUAGCCAGGUGUGUUGGUGUGCACCUGUAAUCCCAGCUACUCUGGAGGGUGAGGCAGGAGAAUCACUUGAACCCAGGAGAGGAAGGUUGCAGUAAGCUGAGAUCAUGCCACUGAACUCCAGCCUGGGCAACAGAGUGAGAUUCUGUCUCCAAAUAAAAAAUAAAUAAGAUUGAAUUUUGAGCUCCUGACCAUGUCCCUAGAUUGUGCUCAUAUGUAUUUUGAUGUCUAAUAAGAUUUAUUCUCAGUGCAUUUUUUAAGUGAAAGUAUUUAUUGAGCAUCUACUGUAUAUCAUGUGCUGAGAUAGGCACCAGUGGUGCAGGGAACAUAUGGCACAGUCUCUGACCUCAGGUAACUUUCACUCUCAUACAUAUGUAUUAGGACACCAACACAUGUGUGAAUAUAAGAUAGUAUGAUAGAUAUUGCAACAAGUAAUUAUUUACUGUAAACCUAUUUUAUAGGAUUUUAAACUUAAACUACUUUCACCCUAUUUCCAAAAAAAAGUAUUGCAUAACUUUAAAUAGAUUCUCAGUUUGAAAUCAUCAUACAAACUGCAGUAGCAUCUGCUGGUGAAAUACUGCUUUGUAUCUAUUAGAAUAGUCCAAACAAUUGGGAGACAACUGCAUUAUUAGAGCUGUAAAAGUUAUUGUCUAGAAAUCUCAGAGAAGAAGAGGAAGUUCUAUGGUAGAUGAAUAAGAUGACAUCUAAACUGUUCUCUUCAGCUACUGAAGUUCUGUGGAUAUCUCACAGCACAAAGUUCAAGUGUAUGCCCACAGCUCCUCAUGCCACAAGAUGUGACACCUUUCCAAUCUCUUUUUGCAAAAGUUUCCAAUUAUGUCUCUUUUAAGAGUACUUUUUAUACCCACAUAUUCCGGAUUUUGUGGUGCACGCAAAGACAAGAUGGGAAGGGGCUUCCAUUUAUUGAUGCCAGCUGCUCCAUGGACCAGGCCCUGCCCAUGCAUCCAUGUUGGUUCUUUUAUCCCCACAUCAGCCAUAGCCCAUAAGCAUUAACUGCCAUUGCACAGAUGAGGAAAUUGAAAGUCUAAGAGAAUAUGCAAUCUACCCAGAGUCAUGCAGCUUGUGUAUGUAAGGUUUGGAAUGAAAAUCCAAUCUGUGUGAGUCUCAAGUCCCCUUCCACCAUAUGGUUUCCAUUUCAUUUUGCAAUCAGAUUGGCUGGGAUAUGUCUGCCCUAAAAGAUAGUAAGUAGGAAUAUUUGUCUCUAUACCUUAACCUGACAUCCAUGGGCUUGCUUUUUGUAUUUGGAGGUGUCAUAACAUUAUAAUAAUAAUUUGAUUUUAUUUGUACAGUGGAUAUUAUACUACUCAGUCUAGAGAUUUAUGACAUCCCAGUCUAAACUGGAUGAUAGCAAUGAAGCUUCUUCAAGGAGACAAGUAUGAGUAAUAAGGUAGUAAUAAGCUGAAUUUCUAUGGAGUUGCUACUUCUGAAUUAAAACUAGUUGAGAUUAAGUAGAUAUUCAAAAAUAUUGCUAUAAUCUUCACUUGAAUAAUACAAACAUUUAUUAUUUUUACAUAUUUAUUUAUUUAUGGAACAUAAUUUUAAAACAGAAUAUUUUCAAAUUGUAUUAAAAUAUAUUAAAAACAUAAUACAUUAUCACCCAAUAGAGUUUUUCAAAGUAACUCAGUGUUAGUUUAAAAUGUGAAAUUCAAUCAACAUAAUUCACCAUAGAAUACAGUGUGUAUGUCAGUAUAAUAUAUAUAUCAAAAUUGGAAAGCAGUAAAUUUAUCUUUGUUUUGUAAUAAGAUGAAAUUAAAAUUUUAAUGAAUUUCAACUUUCAUUUUAGAUUUCGGAGGGUACCUUUGCAGGUUUAUUACAUGGGUGUAUUGUGUGAUGCUGAGAUUUGGGGUAUGAAUGAAAGUGUGAGUGCCUGUUUUGAACUUGCACCGAGAGCAAUCUCCCCUGAUCAGCAGAGGGUAAACUAACUUGAAUUACACUUGAAUUUUUUAGUAGAGCAGGUCACAAAGGGCAAAUUGUAGUCCAGAGACAAAAGUGCUCAGUGGUCUAAAAUGAGCCUGCCAUAUCACUGAGGGUACAGGUCUUCACAGAAAUAUAUUUCAGAAAGACGUCAAACCUUUGUUUAAAGAUAAAUGUAAGCUGGGUGUGGAGGCACACGUCUAUAAUUCCAGCUACUCAGGAGGCUGAGGCAGGAGGAUCCCUUGAGUUCAGGAGUUUAAGACCAGCCUGGACAACAUAGGAAGAUCCCAUCUCAAUUUUUUAAAAUGAGAAAAAAAUAGAUAAACUUAAACAUAUUAAAAUUUUAAAGAGUUUAUUUAAGCAAACAGAGAUUCAUGGAUCAGGCAGCUCCAAACUGAAAGUGGUUGGAGGAUCUACUGGAGGUGUUUGUAAGGAAGGCUUUUACAGGGUGAAUAUAGAAGUAAAGUAGAGAAAUUAUUUGAUUGGCAAAAAUGUGGGCAGUUGCAUUAUUUGAACUAUCCUGGUGGUAGGUCUCUCAUUACCCAGCUAAUACUCGGCAGGCCACCUGUGGGUGGGCUAAGCUUGUUUCAUUUUGUCUAUGCAGGAACCCUGGCCAUGGGAGCUAUCUCAGCCUAAUGCUCUCCCAUUAUGAAAUUUUACACCUUCUUUCUGUAUCAGGGUAAGUGGGGAUCUUCCCCAGGAGGGUUCUUACCACCCUGUUUCCCUCAGCAAAAUGAAACUGUCCCUUUUGCCUCUGUAGGCAAUCUUCUGAACAAGGCAUUCCUAAUAUUCUUAUCUCAUCUUAUUUUAUCUUAUCCUCUUCUCUGUACCUUGUUUACAUGCUUCUGGAACACUUGUGUGUCUUGCACCCAUCUCCUGCAUUAUUUAGGCAAUCCUAACAGAAGGCCGCUAGGAUGGAUUGGAAGAGAACUGCUGGCAUAUUGAGCCCUCUCUCUUUGUAUCUGGAACUUUCAUAAUUACCUUAGUUCUCCAUGCCAAUUUUGCACUUAUCUUUGUUCUCCACUUCAAAAUACAUUUACCUCUGACAGCAGCUGAGUUCAUAAAAGGGAACUAGUCCAGUGGUACUUAUGAGGCAGGAGACAUGAUAUAGUUAAAAUUAUAAACUAUAAUCACUAUAUAGUUAUAUAUUAUAUAUAAUCACUAUAUCACUCCAGGGUUGAAGUGAUACUCCUGCCUCAGCCUCCUGAGUAGCUGGGAUUACAGGCAUGUGCCACCACACUCGAAUAAUCGUAUAUGUUUUAAAAUAGGAAUAGAUUUUCUCAGCUAAACGGAAGGGAAAUGCUAAGGAAAGAGUGAGAUUUGACUUGAUAAUUAUGUUUCUGAAUGAAUCAGCCAAUUAAUAAAAUGAAAACAGGCCAGGACAGUGGUGCAUGCCAGUCAUCCCAGCAAUUUGGGAGGCCAAGGUGGACAGAUCACUUGAGUCCAAGAGUUUGAGACAAGCCUGAGCAACAUAUCAAAACCCCGUCUCUACAAAAAAUACAAAAAUUAGCCAGGUGUGGUGGCUCAUGCCUGUAGUCCCUGCUACUUGGGAGGCUGAGGUAGGAGGAUCACCUGAGCCUGGAGAUGUAGAGGCUGCAAUGAGCUGUGAUCAUGCCACUGCACUUCCAGCCUGGGUGACACAGUGAGACCCUGUCCCAAAGAAACUAAACUAAAA